rnacentral:rRNA from 1 species
GACGAACGCUGGCGGCGUGCUUAACACAUGCAAGUCGAACGGAAAGGCCCUGCUUUUGUGGGGUGCUCGAGUGGCGAACGGGUGAGUAACACGUGAGUAACCUGCCCUUGACUUUGGGAUAACUUCAGGAAACUGGGGCUAAUACCGGAUAGGAGCUCCUGCUGCAUGGUGGGGGUUGGAAAGUUUCGGCGGUUGGGGAUGGACUCGCGGCUUAUCAGCUUGUUGGUGGGGUAGUGGCUUACCAAGGCUUUGACGGGUAGCCGGCCUGUGAGGGUGACCGGCCACAUUGGGACUGAGGUACGGCCCAGACUCCUACGGGAGGCAGCAGUGGGGAAUAUUGCACAAUGGGCGGAAGCCUGAUGCAGCAACGCCGCGUGCGGGAUGACGGCCUUCGGGUUGAAAACCGCUUUCGCCUGUGACGAAGCGUGAGUGACGGUAAUGGGUAAAGAAGCCCCGGCUAACUACGUGC